rnacentral:rRNA from 1 species
UACGGAGGAUGCGAGCGUUAUCCGGAUUUAUUGGGUUUAAAGGGUGCGUAGGCGGGCUUUUAUGUCAGCGGUAAAAAUUCGGGGCUCAACCCCGUCCGGCCGUUGAAACUGGGGGCCUUGAGUGGGCGAGAAGAAGGCGGAAUGCGUGGUGUAGCGGUGAAAUGCAUAGAUAUCACGCAGAACCCCGAUUGCGAAGGCAGCCUUCCGGCGCCCUACUGACGCUGAGGCACGAAAGUGCGGGGAUCGAACAGG